rnacentral:rRNA from 1 species
AGCAGCCGCGGUAAUUCCAGCUCCAAUAGCGUAUAUUAAAGUUGUUGCAGUUAAAAAGCUCGUAGUUGAAUUUCGGGAUUGGCGCAUCGGUCGUGCCUCACGGGGUAUGAACUGGUGCAGUCAAUUUCUCACCUUCUGGAGAACCGCGAUGUCCUUAAUUGGAUGCCGCGGGGAACCAGGACCUUUACUUUGAAAAAUUAGAGUGUUUAAAGCAGGCAUUUUUGCUUGAAUACAUUAGCAUGGAAUAAUAAAAUAGGACGGCAUGGUUCUAUUUUGUUGGUUUCUAGGACCACCGUAAUGAUUAAUAGGGAUAGUUGGGGGCAUUAGUAUUCAAUUGUCAGAGGUGAAAUUCUUGGAUUUAUUGAAGACUAACUACUGCGAAAGCAUUUGCCAAGGAUGUUUUCAUUAAUCAAGAACGAAAGUUAGGGGAUCGAAGACGAUCAGAUACCGUCGUAGUCUUAACCAUAAACUAUGCCGACUAGGAAUCAGACGAUGUUAAUUUUUAAUGUACUCGUUU